rnacentral:rRNA from 1 species
AUUGAACGCUGGCGGCAUGCCUUACACAUGCAAGUCGAACGGCAGCGGGGGGGAAGCUUGCUUCUCCUGCCGGCGAGUGGCGAACGGGUGAGUAAUACAUCGGAACGUGCCCUGUAGUGGGGGAUAACUAGUCGAAAGAUUAGCUAAUACCGCAUACGACCUGAGGGUGAAAGUGGGGGACCGCAAGGCCUCAUGCUAUAGGAGCGGCCGAUGUCUGAUUAGCUAGUUGGUGGGGUAAAGGCCUACCAAGGCGACGAUCAGUAGCUGGUCUGAGAGGACGAUCAGCCACACUGGGACUGAGACACGGCCCAGACUCCUACGGGAGGCAGCAGUGGGGAAUUUUGGACAAUGGGCGAAAGCCUGAUCCAGCAAUGCCGCGUGUGUGAAGAAGGCCUUCGGGUUGUAAAGCACUUUUGUCCGGAAAGAAAUGGCUCUGGUUAAUACCUGGGGUCGAUGACGGUACCGGAAGAAUAAGGACCGGCUAACUACGUGCCAGCAGCCGCGGUAAUACGUAGGGUCCAAGCGUUAAU